GUUCAGUUAUAAUAGUACAAUAACUCGUUAUUCUAGCAGCCUUAGCAGCUCUACCUCGAGGGCAACGCGCUCGCCGGCGGCCUCGAGUUCCUGGAGGCCCUGGUGAUCCGCGACAUGGGGCGGAUCGGGGUUACCGUCCCGAGAACCCUCUCGGGGCUCACGCGCCUCCAGGAGCUCUACCUCGAGGGCAACACACUCGCCGGCGGGGUACCCGGGAAGGUGCUGUCCAGGAUGAGCUCCCUCCGCUACCUCUCGCUCGCCGGCAACCGGCUGGAGGGCACGCUGUCGCCGGAGCUCAGCGACGUUCGCAGUCUAGUCCGAGGAGCUCCUCGUCGCUUUCGUGGCUUAAUGACACGGACAUUCUCUCUUUUGCUUCGCUGUUCAUUUGUGAUGUUGUGCACUGCAGUAGAUAGGAAUCCAGGGGAGAAGUGUAGGAACUGAGCAUCGAGGACGUGACGCCGGAGCGGCUGUCCGGGCUCAUCAGCGGCUACGCCGGCCUCGUCGACAAGGUCCCCUCCAUGAAGGCAUUCCACUGAAGAUGAUUUUGUCCUGUGUCAUGCUUCCAGGAAAAGUUCAAGCUCAUACGAGCCAACGACGAUGCUACUGUGUUGGACGCUCUCUCACUCAGCACCCCCAAGAUCAGACUGCUUCGUAGCUUGACAGUCGAAAAGAAGAAUUCUGUUCAGGACCUCCAGGCCUAAGAAAGUUGAAGUGUGAAGCCUUGAAGACAAUUGUGUGAAGCUCUACUUAUCCAAGAAUGCAUAUUAUAUAUUGUAAUAAUAGACAUAUCUGCUUUGUAACAGAUUGGAAAAAUUGUAAUAUACUACCUUCGUGUUAAUUUGAUGAAUUUCACAUGUUCUUUCUGCUCUA